CUCCUCCAAGAUGGGAGACAAGAGGGAAAUCUGAACCACCGGAGGCUCUCAAGGGUGGAGAUGUUGAGUGUGGUGAGCUGUCACUCUGGCGCCGGGCCAAAAAGAGCAGAUAGCAUGAUGUAACUUCUGGAUCCUUUCAGCCAAGAGAAAGAUCCUGGCUCUGUUGGAGUCCAGAACUGCGCCAGUAUAGUCCAUGGUCUGAAAUGGUAUGAGAUGGGAUUUCGUUACAUUGACUUGAAGGCCUCAAUCUUCCAGCAUUUGCAGCAUGAAAGACAUGUCCUCUUGUGCCUUGGCAUAAGAGCCAGUGACGAUCAACCAGCCAUCUAUAUAUGGGAAAACCAUGAUGUUGUUGAGACAAAGGUAGGCUGCUACUGGAGCUAGGCACUUCGUGAAAGUCCUUGGGGCAAUGGCAAGGCCAAAGGGGAGAGCGCAGAAUUGAUACACUGAUUCCAUGAAAAUAAAUCUGAGAUAUUUGUGGUGAUACUCCUAGAUGGUAAUGUGAAAGUAAGCGUCCUGCAAGUUUAUCAUGAUGAACCAAUCGCCCGGAGGAAGAAGAGGCAUGAUGAACUCUAAGGUGACCAUACGGAACCAUUGGUGAUGAAGGGCGACAGAAAAUUUGGUGGCGCUGAUUGGAAGCCUGAGGUUUGAAGGACAUGGCAGUAGAAGAUGGAGGCUGAUUUGGUCUGUCCUGAGGAGGUUUAUAGUAAUGGUUUUCCAUCACCUCGUUGGUCUUCUCAUUGAACAGACCAGCACCAUUGAACGGAAGCUCUUCAAUCCGUGCUCUGGCAUCAUUGUUGAUGCCUGCUGAACGUAGCCAGGCAUGUCUGUGGAGGGCAAUGGCUGAUGUCAUCGCCUUGGAAGCCACGUCUGCAGUGUGCCUCAAUACCAAGCAUUGUUGUUUGUGAGUGUUGUUGCCUCCAAAUGUGUGUUGAGGGCCAUGGUUCUGGUUUGUCAGGGGCUGCUUGAAGAAUGGACAAGAUCUUAAUCCAUAGUUGCCUUUGAUAGGCACCCAUGGCCGCUUGAUAACUGGAGACCCUCAUCACAAAGGAUGUGAGUGAAUACGGGCAACAGCCAAGUACAUCCAACUUAUGACCCUCUCUGCUAGUAGGGGUCACCUUAGAUCGAUUACCU